GAUGAACGCUGGCGGCGUGCCUAAUACAUGCAAGUCGAGCGAACGGACGAGAAGCUUGCUUUUCUGAUGUUAGCGGCGGACGGGUGAGUAACACGUGGAUAACCUACCUAUAAGACUGGGAUAACUUCGGGAAACCGGAGCUAAUACCGGAUAAUAUUUUGAACCGCAUGGUUCAAAAGUGAAAGACGGUCUUGCUGUCACUUAUAGAUGGAUCCGCGCUGCAUUAGCUAGUUGGUAAGGUAACGGCUUACCAAGGCAACGAUGCAUAGCCGACCUGAGAGGGUGAUCGGCCAAACUGGAACUGAGACACGGCCCAGACUCCUACGGGAGGCAGCAGUAGGGAAUCUUGCGCAAUGGGCGAAAGCCUGACGGAGCAACGCCGCGUGAGUGAUGAAGGUCUUCGGAUCGUAAAACUCUGUUAUUAGGGAAGAACAUAUGUGUAAGUAACUGUGCACAUCUUGAAGGUACCUAAUCAGAAAGCCACGGCUAACUACGUG
rnacentral:rRNA from 1 species